rnacentral:rRNA from 1 species
UAGGGAAUAUUGCGCAAUGGGCGAAAGCCUGACGCAGCGACGCUGCGUGAGUGAUGAAGGCCUUCGGGUUGUAAAGCUCUGUGGGGAGAGACGAAUAAGUGCAAGCUAAUACCUUGCAUGAUGACGGUAUCUCCUUAGCAAGCACCGGCUAACUCUGUGCCAGCAGCCGCGGUAAGACAGAGGGUGCAAACGUUGUUCGGAAUUACUGGGCGUAAAGCGAGUGUAGGCGGUUUCCUAAGUCAGGUGUGAAAGCCCCGGGCUCAACCCGGGAAGUGCACCUGAAACUGGGAGGCUAGAGUACUGGAGAGGUUGGUGGAAUUCUCGGUGUAGAGGUGAAAUUCGUAGAUAUCGAGAGGAACACCGGUGGCGAAGGCGGCCAACUGGACAGAUACUGACGCUGAGACUCGAAAGCGUGGGGAGCAAACA